CAGUCGAACGAUAUAGUGGCAGACGGGUGAGUAACGCGUGGGAACGUACCUUUCACUACGGAAUAGCUCUUGGAAACGAGUGGUAAUACCGUAUACGCCCUUCGGGGGAAAGAUUUAUCGGUGAAAGAUCGGCCCGCGUUAGAUUAGCUAGUUGGUAGGGUAAUGGCCUACCAAGGCGACGAUCUAUAGCUGGUCUGAGAGGAUGAUCAGCCACACUGGGACUGAGACACGGCCCAGACUCCUACGGGAGGCAGCAGUGGGGAAUCUUGCACAAUGGGCGAAAGCCUGAUGCAGCCAUGCCGCGUGAAUGAUGAAGGCCUUAGGGUUGUAAAAUUCUUUCGCUAGGGAUGAUAAUGACAGUACCUAGUAAAGAAGCCCCGGCUAACUUCGUGCCAGCAGCCGCGGUAAUACGAAGGGGGCUAGCGUUGUUCGGAAUUACUGGGCGUAAAGCGCACGUAGGCGGACUUUUAAGUCAGAUGUGAAAUCCCGGGGCUCAACCUCGGAACUGCAUUUGAAACUGGAAGUCUAGAGACCAGGAGAGGUUAGCGGAAUACCGAGUGUAGAGGUGAAAUUCGUAGAUAUUCGGUGGAACACCAGUGGCGAAGGCGGCUAACUGGACUGGUACUGACGCUGAGGUGCGAAAGUGUGGGGAGCAAACAGGAUUAGAUACCCUGGUAGUCCACACCGUAAACGAUGAGAGCUAGUUGUUGGCAGGCAUGCCUGUCGGUGA
rnacentral:rRNA from 1 species